AGCAUUGAAGCACCGGUUCCCGUACCAUCAGCAAAGUUGAGCAACGUCGAAACUAGUCAGUACUUAGAUGGGUGACCGUUUGGGAAUACCAGGUGCUGUAAU